GAUGAACGCUAGCGGCAGGCUUAAUACAUGCAAGUCGAGGGGCAGCACGGGUAGCAAUACCUGGUGGCGACCGGCAAACGGGUGCGGAACACGUACGCAACCUACCCAAAACUGAGGAAUAGCCCGGGGAAACCCGGAUUAAUACUUCGUAACAUAUUAGAGUGGCAUCACUUUAUUAUUAUAGCUCCGGCGGUUUUGGAUGGGCGUGCGCCUGAUUAGGUAGUUGGCAGGGUAACGGCCUACCAAGCCUACGAUCAGUAACUGGUGUGAGAGCACGACCAGUCACACGGGCACUGAGACACGGGCCCGACUCCUACGGGAGGCAGCAGUAAGGAAUAUUGGUCAAUGGACGCAAGUCUGAACCAGCCAUGCCGCGUGAAGGAUGAAGGUCCUCUGGAUUGUAAACUUCUUUUAUAUGGGACGAAACCCUGGUAUUCUUACCAGAUUGACGGUACCAUAAGAAUAAGCACCGGCUAACUCCGUGCCA
rnacentral:rRNA from 1 species